AAGCACUUCUAUGUCAUCCCUCUGCGUGGCACACGGAUAUAAGCAUGGAAAUGGAAACACCAUGAUCAGAAACAGGAUUUUCAGGUAAUCGUCAAUAACAAAGCUCAGUUUCAAUUAAUUAAUGGAAUCAUUACUCUAUCAACUGAAGACUAGGUAAUCAUUUGUUGACCUAACUUACUAGCAAUCAUUACUCAAAGAAUGCAAUAUGUUAGUUCCUUGUGUUACAUGCAUUAUCAACGCAAGAGAAUAGCAAUACAUUGGCAUGAAAAGGUUGAGUGUGAGAGGUACAAUACCUGAGCAAAAGAAUACAUGAGACUAGUACUGAGGGAUCUUGGAGCAGACCAAGAAUGAAUCACCUCCACUGCACUCUCCGCCAUUUCUCACUGACUCAGUUCACCACGCUAAGCUGAUUCAAUUUUUUUUAUUACUAGAGUAUGGAAUCGAUUGGGAUUGCCACUUUUCUUUGUGAGAAUCCCAAUAAAACAGAAUAUAAAAAGACGGGUCAAAAUCUCGAAACAGGAACCAAUCCCGAGGAAUCUCAAAGGAUUAAACAAGUUUUUUUUUUUUUUUCAAAUGCUAACUCCUGUCUCAAGCAUUUGAUGAAGGAAUUAAAAAAAUAUAUAUUAGAUAUAAAAAAUUAUGUUUUCCAUAAAUUUUUUUCAUAUUCUCUUCUUCUUUUAGUUUCUUGAACUAAUUUAUUAAGGGUAACAGAAACAUAAUAAAGCAAAGAAAGAAAGUAACUACUGAAGUGUACGGUCUAGUUAGAUGGUGAUGAUGAUGAUGACCAGAAUGACCCGUGAUGCAUUUGGUUUGGCUUUUUGUCUUGUAGUUGCUACCACUUAUUAACAGUUGCAAUUGCAUAAAUGUUAGGUCUGGCCAGCAGAGAGCAGAUCAAAGGGGUUAAGUGGUUAACUAAGAUAGAAUGGAUGAGAAAGGCCUUCGUCCUCGUCCACGUGCUGGAACCAUGUCUUCUUGACAACUGUGACAUAAAAUCCGAUGUAUUAUCCAAUUAUUCUUGUAUUACAUUUACAGCUAUCUGGCAAUUCGCAUUGAACAAUUCUAAUCUUAUCACAAUGUCUUAAAGUAGGAUAAGUCUUAGGUUUUUAUGUUUUCCAAUUAAUCUUCUUGUUUGCUUUUCUAAUGGCAAGUAUCCAAUGUCUUUCUUCAACGUUUUUAAGAGGAUUUUGUGAGUUUAAAAUAAGUUACACAUAUAUCUAUUGUGUAUUAUUCAAUCAUAUGAUUUAUUUUUUCACAUCUAAUUAAGUUUAAUUUUUUAUUUUUUCAAUUAAAGUCUAAGAACUUUUUAAUAAAUUUGAUAUAUUUUUUUUAUUUCUAUUUUAAUGUAUUUUAAAAAGACACUUACAUCCUUAAUUAAUUCCUAAUUUUUCUAAUUCUGAACAUAGUCUUCUCUGUGUUCUAUUAAUAUUUCCCACCAUCGUCAACUAUCUGAAGGUAAUAUUGGUGAAGGUAAUAAUUGGUUUGGUGUUUGUCGUGAUGGGUUUCACAGCAACUUCUUGGGGAUAUGGCCUUGUCCUCCAGUUUUUGGUUUUGAAGUUAUAUAUAUAAAUAAGAUCUUAUUAAUUAAUGUCUUUAAAUAUUAAUUAAUGAACUAAAAAAAAAUAUUUAUCAUAAGAAAUUAUCUUUUAGAAUUUUCAUUCUCUAGUUGUUUAAACUUUACACAAUGACAUAGUCAAGUCAUGUAAGUAGGUUUUUACCUCAUAUCAAACCUUCAAAAAAGUUUUUUCUAAUUGAUAUAACUAUAACUUAACAUUCUGAUUUUGUAAAAUGUGUCCUAAUUUUUGUUCAUGUAAAAUCUUUUAGAAUUGAUCAUACCUUCAGAUAGGACAUAACAAACCUUCAAAUUUAACUUGUAACAAGAGAAAAACGACUAACAUGUUUUCAUCUCAAAAUGCUUAAUUCAUAUUAAAAUUUAAAUAUUUUAUAUUUAGUUUAUAUUAAUAUUUAAGAUUUUUUUUUGAUAUAGACUAUUGUAGUGUUUGGGAUUUUAUGAAUAGGAAUCAUCCUCCAAAAAGUUGACAAGAAAACUUUAUUGUUUGGUGCCUUGGUAGUUUAUAUUCAGUUUUAUAAAACUAAUAUCCAUUUAAAGCAAGCACUACUAUCUUUGUUAAUGGUGCAAGCUUGUCACAACUUUUGGAGGAGGAUUCCUUUUCACAAAUCACUUCCUGUAAAGAAACACAUCAUUCAGUUCGUUGCGUACACGUGUUAUCCACUGUCUGUGGCCAAUUCUCGUCCCCCAAACUUGUCCUUACCUUCUUUUAAUCCAAACAUGUUAAAAUGGAGCAAAACAUAAAAAAAGACAUGAAUUCUAUUUUGUGUUCAGUGUGUUUUUAAAACAUCAAACAGAUAAUAUUAUUCUUUUUUUUUUAUAUAGCAAGCGGAACGAAAAAAGAAGCUACAGAACGCCAAAG
rnacentral:lncRNA from 1 species